rnacentral:rRNA from 1 species
UACGUAGGGUGCGAGCGUUAAUCGGAAUUACUGGGCGUAAAGCGUCCGCAGGUGGCACCUCAAGUCUGCUGUCAAAGACCGGGGCUUAACCCCAGAAAGGCAGUGGAAACUGAAGUGCUAGAGUGCAGUAGGGGUAGAGGGAAUUCCCGGUGUAGCGGUGAAAUGCGUAGAGAUCGGGAAGAACAUCGGUGGCGAAAGCGCUCUGCUGGACUGCAACUGACACUCAGGGACGAAAGCUAGGGGAGCGAAUGGG